rnacentral:rRNA from 1 species
CGGGAAGUGCUUGCACUAAACAAUCUUUUCAUAACUUAGUGGCGGACGGGUGAGUAACGCGUGGGUAACCUGCCCUGUACUGGGGGACAACAGUUGGAAACGACUGCUAAUACCGCAUAAGCGCACGGGAUCGCAUGAUCGUGUGUGAAAAACUCCGGUGGUACAGGAUGGACCCGCGUCUGAUUAGCUGGUUGGUGAGGUAACGGCCCACCAAGGCAACGAUCAGUAGCCGGCCUGAGAGGGUGAACGGCCACAUUGGGACUGAGACACGGCCCAAACUCCUACGGGAGGCAGCAGUGGGGAAUAUUGCACAAUGGGGGAAACCCUGAUGCAGCGACGCCGCGUGAGUGAAGAAGUAUUUCGGUAUGUAAAGCUCUAUCAGCAGGGAAGAAAAUGACGGUACCUGACUAAGAAGCCCCGGCUAACUACGUGCCAGCAGCCGCGGUAAUACGUAGGGGGCAAGCGUUAUCCGGAUUUACUGGGUGUAAAGGGAGCGUAGACGGCAUGGCAAGUCUGAAGUGAAAUGCGGGGGCUCAACCCCUGAACUGCUUUGGAAACUGUCAGGCUGGAGUGCAGGAGAGGUAAGUGGAAUUCCUAGUGUAGCGGUGAAAUGCGUAGAUAUUAGGAGGAACACCAGUGGCGAAGGCGGCUUACUGGACUGUAACUGACGUUGAGGCUCGAAAGCGUGGGGAGCAAACAGGAUUAGAUACCCUGGUAGUCCACGCCGUAAACGAUGAUUACUAGGUGUUGGGGAUUAAUAAAUCCUCGGUGCCGUCGCAAACGCAAUAAGUAAUCCACCUGGGGAGUACGUUCGCAAGAAUGAAACUCAAAUGAAUUGACGG